UACAGAGGGGGCAAGCGUUGUUCGGAAUUACUGGGCGUAAAGGGCGCGUAGGCGGCCCGCUAAGUCGAACGUGAAAUCCCCGAGCUCAACUCGGGAACUGCGUCCGAUACUGGCGGGCUUGAAUCCGGGAGAGGGAUGCGGAAUUCCAGGUGUAGCGGUGAAAUGCGUAGAUAUCUGGAGGAACACCGGUGGCGAAGGCGGCGUUCUGGACUGCUACUGACACUGAGGAACGAAAGCCAGGGGAGCAAACGGG
rnacentral:rRNA from 1 species